UACGAAGGGAGCUAGCGUUGUUCGGAAUCACUAGGCGUAAAGCGCACGUAGGCGGAUGUGUCAGUCAGGGGUGAAAUCCCGGAGCUCAACUUCGGAACUGCCCUUGAUACAGCACGUCUUGAGUCCGGAAGAGGUGGGUGGAAUUCCUAGUGUAGAGGUGAAAUUCGUAGAUAUUAGGAAGAACACCGGUGGCGAAGGCGGCCCACUGGUCCGGUACUGACGCUGAGGUGCGAAAGCGUGGGGAGCAAACAGG
rnacentral:rRNA from 1 species